rnacentral:lncRNA from 1 species
UUUUUUUUCACAAGUAUUCCACAAAUAUGUUUUAUUUUCUGUAAAUACUCCUUUCAGCUCUGUCUUUUUUUUGAAUUGGUAUUAUCAUGAACUGAAUUGAAUUGGUAUUAUCAUGCAAUUAUAUGAUUAAUUUUCCGACUUACGCAUUCAUUAAUGUAUAUGCUUUUAUAUUUUUAAAUACUAAAUUAUCAUGUUUUGGUAUGGCAUACCCAUGCUUAAUCCACAAGGAAGUGCAUUACAAAACAGAACCAUAUGAUUCCUUUGAAUCAGAACAAAUGGGUAAAGAAGAAGAGGAGGAGGGAGAGGGAAGAAGCUGGGAGAAAAUUGAGAUUUAAUGAACAUACAUUGGCUAUUAGUUGAGGUGACAUGAGGGUGAAGCAAAGAAGAAUGGGUGUCAUGAGGAAGUAGCAAGGAUAAGGGCUCAAGCAGAGUCAAAGAAAGGAUACAUGGAUUUG